UACGUAGGGUGCAAGCGUUACUCGGAAUUACUGGGCGUAAAGCGUGCGCAGGCGGUUCUAUAAGACAGAUGUGAAAUCCCCGGGCUCAACCUGGGAACUGCAUUUGUGACUGUAGAGCUGGAGUGCGGCAGAGGGGGAUGGAAUUCCGCGUGUAGCAGUGAAAUGCGUAGAUAUGCGGAGGAACACCGAUGGCGAAGGCAAUCCCCUGGGCCUGCACUGACGCUCAUGCACGAAAGCGUGGGGAGCAAACAGG
rnacentral:rRNA from 1 species